UACGUAGGGUGCAAGCGUUGUCCGGAAUUAUUGGGCGUAAAGAGCUCGUAGGCGGUUUGUCGCGUCUGCUGUGAAAACGCGAGGCUCAACCUCGCGCCUGCAGUGGGUACGGGCAGACUAGAGUGCGGUAGGGGAGAUUGGAAUUCCUGGUGUAGCGGUGGAGUGCGCAGAUAUCAGGAGGAACACCGAUGGCGAAGGCAGAUCUCUGGGCCGUAACUGACGCUGAGGAGCGAAAGCGUGGGGAGCGAACAGG
rnacentral:rRNA from 1 species